UGACUUAGCGGCGGACGGGUGAGUAACGCGUGGGCAACCUGCCUUACACAGGGGGAUAACAAUUAGAAAUGAUUGCUAAUACCGCAUAAGACCCCAGUACCGCAUGGUACAGGGGUAAAAACUGAGGUGGUGUAAGAUGGGCCCGCGUCUGAUUAGGUAGUUGGUGGGGGUAGAAGCCUACCAAGCCGACGAUCAGUAGCCGACCUGAGAGGGCGACCGGCCACAUUGGGACUGAGACACGGCCCAAACUCCUACGGAAGGCAGCAG
rnacentral:rRNA from 1 species